rnacentral:rRNA from 1 species
GAACACGGACCAAGGAGUCUAGCAUGUGCGCGAGUCAUUGGGAUUAAUUAAACCUAAAGGCGCAAUGAAAGUAAAGGUUCGCCUCGCGCGAACCGAGGGAGGAUGGGUGUGUAAUAUAAACAUGCCCCGCACUCCCGGGGCGUCUCACUCUCAUAGCGAGAAGAGGCGCACCCAGAGCGUACACGCUGGGACCCGAAAGAUGGUGAACUAUGCUUGGUCAGGACGAAGUCAGGGGAAACCCUGAUGGAGGUCCGUAGCGAUUCUGACGUGCAAAUCGAUCGUCGGAACUGAGUAUAGGAGCGAAAGACUAAUCGAACCAUCUAGUAGCUGG